CCUGGAGCAGUGAUGUUCUCAAACACGCAUAGUUCAUCUGAUGUGGGUUUACUCCCCACACUGAAGAACUCUUUAUUGUCUUUCGCUCCUAUCUGAGCUCCAAU
rnacentral:snoRNA from 1 species